GGGGUAAUUUUCAUUUGAAAGUGAACUAAUCCUUUAAGGUACAAUUCCUAGUCUCGGCUUUCUAUAUGAGCCAUGCUUCCCAAAAGCAUCGUUGGCCAGUUAGUCGCAAGUUCUGUUGAUCUCUGUUGGUAACAACAGAACUUGGGACCAUAGUUGCUUUUGGCAAACGCACCCCUGGAUUACGUAACUUUUUUUUAGGCCAACCCAGAAGGAAGCCCUUGACUUGGAUUAUCUCUUUUUUUGUCAUUUAACUUUUUUUAUUUAAACUUGUUGCACCCAAAAAAAAAAACCAACCAAAAUGACAGCAAAAUUAUAUCUCUACUUGUUUUCCAAAUAAUUCAGAAAGCUACCCCAUCUCUCAUUGAAAACAUAGGUGGUGUCUGUAAGUUUUGCCAGCAUUUGUUCACAUGAUGCAUUAGAAGUCAUACGCCCAAUACAAUCCUUGAAAGAGAGUGUGUCUGAGUUCUUCCAAUUUCACAGCACCACUCUGGCAUCCAACAACAGCCAGACCAGCCUACGCUUGAGAUAUUUCCUUCCGUAGAACAGUUUUGUCUCCAUGAAGACAAAAUCUUGGAGCGCAAGGUAUAGGCUGCUCCAUCCACUUUUCAAUGGUCUGAAUGACUCUGGAGCCAACAAAUGGCAAUCCCACAUUAAAUACUUUGAAGAUUAUCUUGAAAAAUAAAACAACCUUAUAUGAAUUUUGAAGCCUAAAUACAAUGGCCAGAAUUAAAAGCUAAAUUUAGACUACAAACAAACUACACUAUGGAUACACAACUUUAACAUCACCACCACUAAUCUUCCCACAGCUCUUUCAAUCUUUAUUUAAAAUAUACAAGUUGGAAAGUUCAAAUUAUCCUAGCUUACAAAAGUGCAAGUAUAAACACAACGAGGCUGUAAAAUGGUCUAGUGAUUAGAUGCGUUUUCUUCUUCUGUGUGAUGAUGUUUAUUAUCCCUGACAACCACUGUAGCCCAAAUAACCAAAUUAGCAAAUCGAGUAAAAAAUGCUUUAUUACCAAUGUAUUUUAUGUCGUAGAAUAAAAAGAAAAGAUCUUGAGCUUGUUUUAUUUCAGGCAUUUAACCAAAAACAAACAUUGGAACGAUAGAACUAGAACAGGGGUGUCCAGUCCUGCUUCUGGAGGGCCACUGUCCUGCAGAGUUUAGCUUCAUCCCCAAUUAAACACAUCUGAACCAGCUAAUCAUGGUCUUACUAGGCAUACCAGAAGCUUCCAUGCAGGUGUUUUGAGACAAGUGGGAGCUAAACUCUUCAAGACAGUGGCCCUCUAUUCUGUCUCAGUUGCUGGAGUCACAUGGCCAGAUGAAACGAUACAAUAAUUAUAACCAAAGAGAUCUUCCAGUGUUAAAAUGUUUUUUUGGAAGCGUCUCUUGAUCGAAAGUGUUAGAUGUUGUACCCUUAUAGUUUUGCUCAAUGGUUUGAAAUACCAGACAUUGAUAAGCUUGUGAUGGUCUGUUUUUGUUUAUGACUCAUUGUAGUUUAGUUUCCCAACUCGCCGCCUGAGUCAUGCUCUGUGAACACGUCAUGCUCCUCCCAGAAAAACACAUUUCUUUCAUUUUUGAUGGGUGAGAGCAAGAACAUGACACCCUUUCAGCUAAAGAAGAUUUUGGGAUUGAGUAAUGUUUUCCUGGAGAGGUUCUUUUGCCCUGAAGUUCUGUGCUGGACACGUGAGAAGUGCAGGUGGGACCUCCAACCCGCCUGCAGAAAAGAAAUUACAUCCAAUGCCAUGCUUCCAGCAGGUGAUUGAACUUGUGCCGCAGUGUUUAAGUGUAAAGGAAAAUCAGGAAAACAAAGAGAUGGACUGACUUCAUUCCACACAUCUGGAGCACUAAAGGUUGUUGAUUGGUGAGCUCCGGUGCGGGUGUUGGAUGAACUCAUUAAAAAUGGAAGCUGUGAAAGUAGGCCAGCGGUUUACUGAUGUGGAGGUAAUGGGUAAAGAGAAAGAAAAGCAGUUCCCAGUUCUCCAUCGCUUAUCCCAUGUCAUUGUCUUCUCUUGGUCCAUUCUCUGCAUGGAGCCUCUUUGGUUUGAUGCCACAGCUAAAGCACACUUGGCCUGCCUGUAUCAGCCCGUUCCCAUUGCUGUCGAGUCUGACAUCUGGAUCUGACAGGCUUCUGAUUGGUUGUUAUGAUUCACAUGAACCAUAUGUUGUCCUUGCUGGUCUGUCAUCUGGAAUUUGUUUCUUGCCUGAAGAUUUAUACCUUAAAAAAUGUCCAAUUUUUUCAAUUUGUCAUUAACUUAAAUGUAUGCAAUUAGCUAACACUUUUUUGUAAACGCUUUGUUGUGAUUGAGCUCAAUUCUGAUUUGAUUUUCAAAUAUGACUGUCUGCAUGUCAUUAUGUAGGUGUAGUCAAUAUCUGAUAUAUCUACAUUUGAUGCCAUAGUAAUGACUAAAGUGUCAGCAUGACGCCAAGAGGCUUUCUUUCGCAUCAGUCGAGAGUGGCUGUCAGUAUGUAACGAGCAGACAGAAAUCUGGAUGUUUUUACAUUAUAAUAUUUAUAAUAUUUUACACAUUGCUGCAUAUACUGCAUUUAAAACCAUCCACUUUUUCACUACUGAAUACAUAUCUAAUUUCUUACAGUUCAGAUUAUAGCAAAAAAUAAUGCAUUUGAACACUAAUCCGAAAGAUUGAAAUGUUUCCUUUUUUUUUUAAAGUAUGUAUGUGCACACUGAGCAAAAUAGUGGCAACAAUAUCAAUAU